rnacentral:misc_RNA from 1 species
AAGAUGGGUUGCUGGACCUGGAAGUGUACAGGACCUUAUUGCUGGAUUUGAUCAAGAAGCAGCUGCUGUGGUAAUGGCACGACAAGUUUCUUUCAAAAUGGAAACCGAGGCUGAUUUUGAUCCCAUCAGAUGGCUGGAUAAGUCAUUGAUACACAUAUGUUCUCGGUUUGGUGACUACCAAAAAGAUACUCCAUCUUCUUUCACUCUAUCUCCUCGUUUCUCAAUAUUUCCCCAGUUUAUGUUUCACUUGCGGCGGUCUCAGUUUGUCCAGGUCUUUGGAAACAGUCCAGAUGAGACGGCAUAUUUUAGAAU